CUGGCCCAUGGAUGCUGCACCAGCCUUGUCCAUCUGGAUCUCUCUAAAAAUGUGUACUCACACAAAAAGGUGAAAGAUGUCUCUCCUGCCAUCAAGCAAUUUUUCAGCAAGGCCUGUGCCCUCAAGCAUGUCUCACUGGCAGGUACCAAGCUGCCUCCAGACGCUGUAAGGGCUUUGCUGCAAGGACUGGCAUACAACAGUUGCAUCAGUGACCUGCACCUGG